UGGGUGACCUGCCCUCAGCUCUGGGGAUAAGCCUGGGAAACUGGGUCUAAUACCGGAUAUGACCUCUCACUUCAUGGUGGGUGGUGGAAAGUUUUUCGGCUGGGGAUGGGCCCGCGGCCUAUCAGCUUGUUGGUGGGGUGAUGGCCUACCAAGGCGACGACGGGUAGCCGGCCUGAGAGGGCGCCCGGCCACACUGGGACUGAGACACGGCCCAGACUCCGUACGGGAG
rnacentral:rRNA from 1 species